CCUACGGGGGGCUGCAGUGGGGAAUAUUGGACAAUGGGGGCAACCCUGAUCCAGCCAUGCCGCGUGUGUGAAGAAGACCCUCGGGUUGUAAAGCACUUUCAGUGAGGAAGAACGCCUGGUGGUUAAUACCCAUCAGGAAAGACAUCACUCACAGAAGAAGCACCGGCUAACUCCGUGCCAGCAGCCGCGGUAAUACGGAGGGUGCGAGCGUUAAUCGGAAUUACUGGGCGUAAAGCGCGCGUAGGUGGCUUGAUAAGCCGGUUGUGAAAGCCCCGGGCUCAACCUGGGAACGGCAUCCGGAACUGUCAAGCUAGAGUGCAGGAGAGGAAGGUAGAAUUCCCGGUGUAGCGGUGAAAUGCGUAGAGAUCGGGAGGAAUACCAGUGGCGAAGGCGGCCUUCUGGACUGACACUGACACUGAGGUGCGAAAGCGUGGGUAGCAAACAGGAUUAGAUACCCUAGUAGUC
rnacentral:rRNA from 1 species